GUAGUCUGCAACUCGACUACAUGAAGCUGGAAUCGCUAGUAAUCGCGGAUCAGAAUGCCGCGGUGAAUACGUUCCCGGGUCUUGUACACACCGCCCGUCACACCAUGGGAGUCGGAAAUGCCCGAAGUCUGUGACCCAACCGCAAGGAGGGAGCAGCCGAAGGCAGGUCGGAUGACUGGGGUGAAGUCGUAACAAGGUACC
rnacentral:rRNA from 1 species